UUUAGUGGAGCGGUGAAAGGCUCAGUAACGGGCGAUUUAUUUGUUCUCCUGUGACGGACAACAUCGGGAAACUGAUGGGAAAACGUCUAAGUUGCAGUUAAUUGAUUGUGACGUAAACGAUAUUGUGCAGGAGAGUAAGAUGCCAUCCUAUCAGUUAGUAAGUAGGGUAAGGGCCUACUUAGACGAAGACGGGUACGGGGAAUGAGGGUUUGAUUCCGGAGAGGGAGCCUGAGAGAUGGCUACCAGGACCAAGGUCAGCAGCAGGCGCGAAAAUUAUCGAAGCCCGCCUAGGGGCGAUAGUGAGGAGACGUGUAUAACGAAGUACGUGUAAAGAACGUGCUAAUAACUGGAGGUCAAGUCUGGUGCCAGCAUCCGCGGUAAUUCCAGCUCCAGGGGUGUCUAUGAUGAUUGCUGCGAUUAAAAAGUCCGUAGUCAAUCUGACUGACUGGCCUGCAAUGUGAUUGAUUAAAGAACGAGCAGGGUUAGGAAAGCAGAGAAUUAGGAGCGACCGAGGGCUAGAGUAUUGAAUGGCGAGAGGUGAAAUUUGAUGACCCAUUCAGGAGUGACAAAGGCGAAGGCACUAGUCAAGGGCGAAUCCGAUGAUCAAGGACGUAGGCUAGAGUUUCGAAAACGAUUAGAGACCGGAGUAGUUCUAGCAGUAAACUAUGCCGACGCCGUGGUAUCAUUUUGGUAUUGCGGAAGAGAAAUCAAGUAAGGCUUUGGGGAGAGUACGCGCGCAAGCGAUAAAUUUAAAGGAAAUGACGGAG
rnacentral:rRNA from 1 species